rnacentral:rRNA from 1 species
AGAUUGAACGCUGGCGGAAUGCUUUACACAUGCAAGUCGAACGGCAGCACGGGGGUAACCCUGGUGGCGAGUGGCGAACGGGUGAGUAAUACAUCGGAACGUGCCCAGUCGUGGGGGAUAACGUAGCGAAAGCUACGCUAAUACCGCAUACGAACUCUGGUUGAAAGCGGGGGACUCGCAAGAGCCUCGCGCGAUUGGAGCGGCCGAUGGCAGAUUAGGUAGUUGGUGGGGUAAAGGCUCACCAAGCCUGCGAUCUGUAGCUGGUCUGAGAGGACGACCAGCCACACUGGGACUGACGACACGGCCCAGACGUCCGUACGGGAGGCAGCGAGGUAGGGAAUUUGGACAAUGGGCGACGAAGCCUGAUCCAGCCA